rnacentral:rRNA from 1 species
UACGUAGGUGGCGAGCGUUGUCCGGAUUUACUGGGCGUAAAGGGCGUGCAGGCGGUCUGUUAAGUCUAGGGUGAAAGCUCCCGGCUCAACUGGGAGAGGUCCUUGGAUACUGGCGGACUUGAGGGAGACAGAGGAGAGUGGAAUUCCCGGUGUAGUGGUGAUAUGCGUAGAUAUCGGGAGGAACACCAGUGGCGAAGGCGGCUCUCUGGGACGUGACUGACGCUGAGACGCGAAAGCGUGGGGAGCGAACAGG